GUGAGGCUGCCCGGUGCGUCAGGCACGCACACUCCCGGGGGCGAUAGUUCAAAUAUGGGAGCUGUCCCUGACGGGACCCUGGUCCCGCCACACGGUGCCCACUUCGUUGCCGCGGCCCAUGUGGAGGUCGCACCGCCAACGGCCAGGGUGGCUUCACA
rnacentral:other from 1 species